rnacentral:rRNA from 1 species
UAGCCGUAAACGAUACUCGCUAGGUGUCGGCCACGGUGCGACCGUUGUCGGUGCCGUAGGGAAGCCGUGAAGCGAGCCACCUGGGAAGUACGGCCGCAAGGCUGAAACUUAAAGGAAUUGGCGGGGGAGGCACCACAACGGGUGGAGCUUGCGGUUUAAUUUGGAUUCAACGCCGGAAAUCUUACCGGGACCGGACAGCAACAUGAAGGCCAGGCUGAAGACUUUGCCGGAUUAGCUGAGAGGAGGUGCAUGGCGUAGUCGUGU